rnacentral:rRNA from 1 species
GACGAACGCUGGCGGCGUGCCUAACACAUGCAAGUCGAACGGAGUUGAAAGGAGCUUGCUUUUUUCAACUCAGUGGCGGACGGGUGAGUAACGCGUGAGUAACCUGCCUUUCAGAGGGGGAUAACGUUCUGAAAAGAACGCUAAUACCGCAUAAGAUUGUAGUUUCGCAUGGAGCAGCAAUCAAAGGAGCAAUCCGCUGAAAGAUGGACUCGCGUCCGAUUAGAUAGUUGGCGGGGUAACGGCCCACCAAGUCGACGAUCGGUAGCCGGACUGAGAGGUUGAUCGGCCACAUUGGGACUGAGACACGGCCCAGACUCCUACGGGAGGCAGCAGUGAGGGAUAUUGGGCAAUGGGGGAAACCCUGACCCAGCAACGCCGCGUGAGGGAUGACGGUUUUCGGAUUGUAAACCUCUGUCCUCUGUGAAGAUAGUGACGGUAGCAGAGGAGGAAGCUCCGGCUAACUACGUGCCAGCAGCCGCGGUAAUACGUAGGGAGCAAGCGUUGUCCGGAUUUACUGGGUGUAAAGGGUGCGUAGGCGGAUUGGCAAGUCAGAAGUGAAAUCCAUGGGCUUAACCCAUGAACUGCUUUUGAAACUGUUAGUCUUGAGUGAAGUAGAGGUAGGCGGAAUUCCCGGUGUAGCGGUGAAAUGCGUAGAGAUCGGGAGGAACACCAGUGGCGAAGGCGGCCUACUGGGCUUUAACUGACGCUGAGGCACGAAAGUGUGGGUAGUAAACAGGAUUAGAUACCCUGGUAGUCCACACUGUAAACG